rnacentral:rRNA from 1 species
AAAGGAAUUGACGGGAGCCCGCACAAGCAGUGGAGUAUGUGGUUUAAUUCGAAGCAACGCGAAGAACCUUACCAGGACUUGACAUCCUAAGAAGACCGAGUAACUUUGGUUGUGCCCUUCGGGGAACUUAGAGACAGGUGGUGCAUGGUUGUCGUCAGCUCGUGUCGUGAGAUGUUGGGUUAAGUCCCGCAACGAGCGCAACCCUUACGAAUUAGUUGCUACGCAAGAGCACUCUAAUCGGACUGCCGUUGACAAAACGGAGGAAGGUGGGGACGACGUCAAAUCAUCAUGCCCCUUACGUUCUGGGCUACACACGUACUACAAUGGCGUCCAACAACGGGGAGCGAAGGCGCGAGCCGGAGCAAAUCCCAAAAAGACGUCUCAGUUCAGAUUGCAGGCUGCAACUCGCCUGCAUGAAGAUGGAAUUGCUAGUAAUCGCGGAUCAGCAUGCCGCGGUGAAUACGUUCCCGGGCUUUGUACACACCGCCCGU